AUAUUUCUCUUAAAAAAUCCUGACUUAAAGGGCUCCUUUUAGUAAUGGAAGUUCCCAAACAAUCAGGAUAUUCUUCCCAUUUAUGUGCUGUCUGAACAUGAAAAAGUAGGAACACAGGACUCCUCUUGUCCCUUCCUCUCCUGGAGAGACGCUUACCAUUUAGAAGAGGAUAAUCUUGAUGUUUUGCACAGCUGUAUGGAGUUUUGCUAAUAAAUCUUUGGGGAGUUCCAGAUAGAACGUGCUAUAUUUAGCCUGACACUUCAGUUAAAUACUCAAUUAUCUGUAAUUUGAUUCCACAACUUCUUGUCUCUGUGGAUUCUCCCUGUGUUAGCUAGGUUGGCAAGGAAUAAGGUAUUACUAAUAGCACGCUGGUAAGUCAGCAUAUCCCGGUGUAAUAAAAGGCAGUGGGCCAAACUCACGAGUGAGUAAAUAAAUGUAUGCCUUGCCCAGAACUGGAGAACGAACCACAACCAGGAUCACACAUCUGUCACAUUAGCAUCUCCAGUCAUGUUAAUUUACUUGACUUAAUUCACAAUUCACAAGCCAUUCGCUCAAGUUACAACAGGGGGGGGAAAAAACCUAAAGCAUCCACACAUCCAAGACAUGCAGUUUUUUCACCUUGAUGACUCGACAUCACUCUCCUCCACUUCACUAGUGUGAUCACAGGUUCAUUAGCGCCUCUUUUCUCCCAUGGGAUAGUAUUUUUACUACCCCUAGCACCUAGGAGCCCCAGGCACAAACCAAGACAGAGCAGGGGAGAACAAGUUGCACAUCUCCAGAACAUGGACAGUGUCUUGGAGAUUGCUCCCCAGGAAGUGAGAAAUGCAGCCCAAAAGACCUGGUAGGUAGCUAGAUGGUACUGGCUAAAAAUAUUACUAUUCCUAAAACACGGGGCUGCUCACAGCAGCCUGCAGCAGUGUCACUCUGCUGCCAACACAGCCUGAAUAUGCAUAAGAAGCGACUCUUAGUAUAAUUUUGUUUUUGAAGCCCAUUCUUUGAAUUCAUUUUAAGAUAUCCUUUGCCCUGCCGCUGCAGCUCACCUGGUUUGCUUUUACAGAGAUGGACUGCAGCAAAAGCAUCACUAUAGAUGUGAUCUGAGACUAACCUGAGGUUCAAUCCAUCUUCACUGUGGCAGGAUGAUAAUCAUAUGUAACAUCCCUCCAGUAAAAAAGGAAACUUAUGAGCUAUAGAAAUGUAUACUUCCAUAGACACAGCGCAACUGGAUUUGAUAUCAUUGGCAAGUCAGUGCUUGGCUUGCAAAGAGUCACGGAUGUUUUUUCUCUUGAUCCAGAGAGGCCAGAAGGGGCUGUUACUGCCAUUUGGUCUGACCUUCUGUAUAACACAAGCCAUGGAACCACACCCAGGAAUCUCUGCAGCUACAUCCAUAACGUCCAGUUGUGCUACAGAAAGAUAUCCAGUCUGCGGUGAAAGAUUUCAAGUGACUGAGAAUCCACUGCAUCCACAGAGCAGUUCCCCUCAAUGUUAAAAAAUGCAUGCCUCCAACUGUCUGAGGAUCCUGCUGCACUGUAUUCUUCGUUUCAUUAUUUUUUUCAAAAGGACUAUUUGCACACUCUAGAAAUAUUGUGGAUAAUGUAAGCAGAGAAAAGGUGAGGGAUAGGUCUUUCAUAGAAACCCGUUUAUUUAAAAGUUUGUAUACAAUAAUGUAAAUAUAAAAUAUAUAUUACAAAAUUAAAAA